UUUUCAUAGCUGAAAAAGCUCCUUCAUAUGUUGCGGUAGAUGCACGAAGUGUCAAGAUAAGACGUAAAAAUCUAUCUACUGGUGAAUAGACUCCGACUUUCCCCUGUUAUCACCAUUCCUUGACAUUAAUAACCAAGAGUAGAAAUAUUCUUGAAAUCUGGAUGAGUAGGAAUAUCUAGGCCAUAAUGCUAUAAUUCACACUUCAAACAAAUUUAUCUUCUUUCAAAAAUCUCCAGGAUAGAAUUUUUCAGCAAGCAUAAAUGGUCUGUAACCAUCUCUAGGAUUCAAUGAUGUACUCAAAAUGAGAAGCUCUGUUGCUUGUUCACUAAACCUAAUGUUUAACUCCUGCAAUCAUUGAUCUGUGCGGCUGUGCCAAAGGCAAAUUUUUCUACUCUAUAAUAGUAUAAUGAUGUUCCAUUGUAACUGUUUGUCUUUGUUUUCAUUGUUGCCGAAGAGAUUUCAGUACAUAAAAAUAUGGAGCAGCCAUGUCAGGUAUGAAGAUACUGGGUGGAACAUCACUUAUUUGAUGCUUGAUGGCGCUUUUAAAUUUGAGAAGGAAUUUACAAGGUAUGAAUAGGAAGAUGACAAAUUUCUUAGUUACUUUAUGGAGAAAGAAAGUGGAAAAAAUAGGAUUGGACAACCAAACUCUAUUGAUUCAUUCGACAUCUGUUUUUGUCAAGUUUUUAGCUACCUUUUAUGAAGCAACUUUGAAGCUUAGUGGCACACUACAUGAACAAUUUUUAUCGUGAAAUUUGUGAGAUUCAUGGUCAAUUGAGUGAUCCAGUUGAUGCUAAUGAUUCCUUGCUAUCUAUCAUGGCUGCUAGCAUGAAGGGGAAAUUUGACAAAUAUUGGGGAGAUGUGGAUAACAUAAACCCACUACUAUUUUUGUCUGAUUUGCUUGAUCCAAGGUACGAACUGAGGUACUUGAAGUAUUGUUUUGAAUCUAUUUAUGAUGGUGAGACGGUGGCCAAGAUUGUCGUGCAAGUGGAAUCCAUCCUGCAACAUUUGUAUGCUGCUAAUUAUGUGAAAACAGUUGACGUUGGAUCUCAGGUUAUUCGCUCUCUCAGGCUGGCGUCGUUAGGCUUUAGGCUUGGCAUACUCUGGAAUUGUUGAUAAGGAAGAAUGUCGUGAAGAUAUGAAAGAUAAGUGCGAUCCUGACAUACUUAUAGCUAAGAUUUCAGGAUGACUAGAAGUCUGCAUUGGCAGCGUUUAGAUGGGCAGAAGUAAUCCGGAAAAUAACCUGUGCAAGGCAUGGGUAUCUUCUAGCACU